UUUUUGUAAGAAUGGAUUUAGAAAACACAUUCGUAAUUUUUUUUAUGGCUACAGCCUCUUGAUCUUUGCUAGCCACGUUUCUUGCUGCACAAACAAUGCCGUAAGCGCCUUGACCCAACUCCUUCACUACCUAAACUAUGUUAGUUUUCCUAAAAGUUCAAGCAGAUGCGAUUUUCUGUCAAGUAAACAAAAUGUUUUGCAAAUGCAGCAGUUACCCAAAUAUCUCAUACCUUAAAAUUAGGCUCGACAUACAUCUCCUGGUUAAACACACGGUAAACACGAUGUCGACGGUCCAUCCUUGCGACUUAUAGCAUGCAACUUGAAUUUUUAGCUGUUUGGCAAAAGGGAUGUGGAAAAAACUACAGUACAUCACUUGUAGUGAUUAACGAUGCCUUAUAUUUCACUAUUUGAAUGCAAGUCGGUUAGAUUUGAAGACUAUCAGAUGGAAUUUAUGGUAUUAAAGAAUAUGCAUACAAAUCUAAUAAAUAUAUGAGGAAUACUAAAAGAAACUAGGUCCAGAGUUCAAGACUACCAAAAGCGUCAACAAUAAGCACUAUAGCGUACGGUUGGUACAAGAAGGCCAUGUCAACGAUGGGGUGCAGACGAUUUUCGCUAGGUAGAUUCUUUUGCUGUUGAAGGAAUAGAAGAGGCCUUGACACUCCCGAAGACUUUGGGCGUACAUUCUGUUGUUCAGAGACUUUUUGGUAGAUAGGAGGUUUGUUAUGUAUUAAAGAUAGUUUUGAACUCUCGGAGUCGUUGGUCACCGACGAACUAGCAGAGACAUUGUGGGGAUUCCAAAUAAACGCAUGAGGGCUUCCAGAAGCGGCAAUGAGAAAAAGUGGCUCUCGUUCGACAGAACCUGCAGACGGACCUCUGUACCUAUAGAUUGGACUAGAUAUACAAGGCCAAGGAGAGUCGAAUUUGGUAUUCAAAUCUCUUAAUCCCAUGUCAUUGCCAGAAUCUAUAUCAAACUUUUUUUUUUCAUUAAAAGCAUCAAUUCCAACAGAUACCGGAAUCGGACUGGUGAGUGAAGAAUUCCAGUUUUCUAAGAAAACCUCUUCGGUUUUCCCUUUUUCAACGUCAAAAUUUACUAUGCCUGAAGCGGAUCUGUGACUCGCUGGAACUGCAUCUUCAAGAUUAACUUCUUUAUUAUCCAAGUUGGUAAGGACGCUAAAACUGAUACUGACUGUAGUGCUUCCAAACGAGUUUAACAUUCCGUGAUUUUCUAAAGGAUUGAUGGGAAUAGUAGAGUUAAUUGGCUGAGUACUACUUGAACUUGUACUUGAGCUACCUGGAACCUUGGUAACGGGACUAUUGUUAUUUCCGGAAGUAUACUCAUUAACGUUGCUACGUUUUUUGGUAACAUCUAAAAGAAGAUGCAUCUGAUCAAUCCUGGCUGGCAUAUGCCAAGAGCAUGAUAAUGUCCCAAAGCGGAGGUCCCAAAGUAAGAGCCAUCCUUUGGUAGUCCCAAUUAAAGCCCAAUUACAACCCUCAGAAACUACUACACUAGUAGCUGACCCACACUGUAAUGGUAAUUGGUCUGAUGACAAAACCCUCAUCAUUCCCACGUCUAAGUAUACGAUGCGUGACCAUUUUGUAACAACGACUAGACGGAUACUCCCGUCGUGAAAUGUAGAAGCUUCCAUGGAGGUUACAGAAUCACUGAAAUCCAAAUUGGGAAUACGACCAGCCGAAAUUAGAGUAUGCCGCUGAUUGUUAACGUCAAGUCUGUGAACUUCCACAGAGCCAUCUUGAGUAACAGAAGCAAAAGCGUAUGUAUUACCUAGAAAGCAUCCAUUGACCACAGAAAAUCUAUUCCUCUCGCCAUUACGUCGCGUAUGCCCAUAACUUAAUCGGCAUUCACAUCUCAUAGUUGAAAUAUGACGAACACUUUCAACUAAUUGCCAUGCUCUUACAACACCGUCAGAUCCCAAGGUAACGAAAAAAGAUGAAUCUGGACUAACCAAAACUUUCUUCGUACCUCCAUCAAGAAGGCUUCCUAAAUAUAUCUGAGCAACUCGUGAUCCUUCUGGAUGCCAUUCAUGAGUCUGAACUAUUUUAUUCGCAGCCUUCGCAGACACCUUUGUUCUACGACGCAAAGGUAUAUUAGAAGCCCAGCUUGGUGAAACAGCAGCACCAACGUUAAGUGUCGAAGCCGCUGCUUCUGCAUAAAUUUUAUUUAAAUAAUUUAAGACGCAUGGAUUAGUUCCAGUAUACGAUGAUUUUUUUGCGCCAUUUUGCCUCGUGGUAAGCUUUUUCAAAUCGAUAUGAGUAGUAAAUGAUCUUUGGCUUCGAAUACCGGCAACAUUAGUUGUAUCAUUCGUUGAAACCCUAGAAGAGAUCAACGGUGCGAGGCUUUUCCCCUUCGAUUCUUUAGCAUGUUUGUCAGAAUCUUUAGAAGAGACUAUUGCUUCUACAGAGGAAGGCUCCAAAGUAUUAUUUGUGAGUAAGGGGUUCUCAGUAUUAUAAGAAUUCAACCCACCGGUAUCGUCCGUUGGUUGAGUGACUGUGGGAUUGUGUGUGUCAACCUUGGAGCUAGCAGUGUCUGAAGGUAGUUUAAUUUCAGGAUUGUCCGUUUGUCUGUAUACAUCAUGAGUACCAGUAAUGGUCUCUCCAUUAUCAGAAUUAGACUCCCUAUUAAUAUCAACUUUGAUAUCUGAUUGUGAAACGUCUUUUGGUUUUGUGGUCGUACCAAAAGCAUUAGUCAUAUCCGUCCCUACAUAUGCAAUGGGAUCUCGAGCAAUUAAGUCAUCGUUAUAGGAGCGGCUUGUUUGAAUGGAUUCUGCAUAAGAAUUUCUGUCCAAGAAAGUUUCAUUGGCGAUAGAAGACGAAGGGGGUCUUUCUGGGUUCCAAAAAAUGGUUUCUGGUAAUAUGUGCAAGGGAGCAUUAGGGUAAGUAUUCAGUUCCCGUAAUCCACUUUGUCGUUUAUAGUUGAUUCCAUUUAAAUUAAUUUUCGUUUUCUUAACAUAAUCUCUCAAAUUAGCCAGUACCCAUAAGUGCUUUACAUCAACUCCCAUUUCUUUAAUGAUGUCAGCCCAUUUCUGGUCAUCUUCACUAAGCUCUAGCAUUUCUGUGGAAGUUAUAAUCACAUGGCCAGUUAGAGAGAUUUUUUUGUGAGUAUACACUUCUGCGUGGUGCAUUAUUUCUCUCUUUUGCAAAUUUUUGGUUCUUCCUAAAAGCGAAUCAUUGCUUACAUCAAGAGACGAGUAAGACGCAUCUUUAUCACACUUCCAAAAGCUUGAGUUUUCGGAUUCUUCAUACCAGCGGGUCAAAGUAGACCAAACACUAUCAGAUACCAUAGGCAAAAUAAAUUGAUCUAGCUUUUCUAAAGAGUUUAUAUCACAUAAAUUGGACAUCAAGUAAGGUCUUAAUAAAGGAGUUACAAUACAGUCCCUAUCAAUAUCAUCAAAACUUUGAUAUGCAGAGUAAAUAACAGACAAGGCAGCUCUUCGAAUAUAAGCAUUAGGUACAGCAACAAGUGGAAGCACAAGCUGUAAGAUAUCAACAACAACAAGCUUUUCAAAUAAGUGUAAUUCGAUCAGUCCAGAAAAAGAUCCCAAGACACUCUCAAGGACAGCUGGCUCAGGAUCUACUAAAGCCUGCAGCAUCAAGGGAAGUAUAUACUCAUCUACACUCCUUGGACCGAUGAAAAUGGAUAGACCGGUAAUACUUUCAAAAAAUGCACAACGAAGCAUCCAAUCCGUGUCAUUCAAGUAAGUUAUCAGAUGGCUCAAAAUCAAAUCGUUAGACUUUGCUUUACCGAAAAAAACACAAAGCGGAGCCAAAGCAUUCAGCAAAGAUCUACGAACAAUAGAAGAGCUGUCCGCUAAAAGAGUAGAAACGUGCCUUUCUACAGUAACUACUAAAUCGUGUCGACCGGUUUCAAAUAACAAUUCAGCCUUUCCAUGAUUUAUAUUUUCAUAUUCGGAUUCAGGAAACGAUAAAAUACCAGCAUUCCUUAAUGAUUGAGCCAAAUUUAAAAAUUUGGAAGCUUGUUUGGCUAAAAUUGGAAGGCAGGAUGCAUAUGUUGCUCGAGUACGAGAAUUCAUAUCGAAAAGAAAAUGCUGAAGGUCAGGAAAUAAAUACUCCUGAAAAAGAAAUGCAUUAAUCGGAGCAAUAGAGGUUACAUUACUAACUAGGCGAGUAAUCGUAAUAAGCGCACUAAUCCUUACAUCGGCGUAUUGGUCACGAAGCAAAGUCAUAACAAAAGGUAAAACUGUAUCAAGUUUGGACUCAUCGCAGAUGUUCCUUGAUAAAAUUUGCACCAAACUUAAAGCGUUUAUCUUAGAUUCUCUUGUAUUCACGUGUCUAAUAGUGGAAAGAACUAUGGGAAGAAGAACAGCGGCACCAUAAAGAUGAUUUUCAUCCGUUUCAAUAGAUGAAAUAUCCUCAAUGACUGAAGGAGAAGGUGCAGGUGUGGAACCUUGCUCUUUAUCCUCAAAUCCUUUUUUUUCUUGCAUAGUAUUAUACAGUCUUAGAUACCAAUUCUUGGCAGCAGGGUUUUUAUUAUAAAAUUCAUCAAGUGUGGUAAAAAGGGGUACAGAAUAAGAAUCUAUUCCAUUAUAUUCAUGAGGGGUGUGCAUAAGGUUUGAAAUGUCAUUAUUAUUUGGGGGCAUAAUAUCUCUGUAAAUGUCGUCAAUUCGAGAACCAUACAAACUGCAAGCGUCAUUAGGCUGCUUGGCAGAAAGAAUUCCGCUUGGAUCGACUAAACCAAUACAGUAAUCAUACAAAGUGUCAUAAAAGCAUGCAGGAAAAACGGUUCCUCGAUAUUUCUGCAAAUAGGCAUCAGCCGACAAUCGUUGACUGGGAUCUCUGUCUAGCAUACUUA
rnacentral:lncRNA from 1 species